CAGUAGCCGCGGGAAUACGGAGGGUGCAAGCGUUAAUCGGAAUUACUGGGCGUAAAGCGCACGCAGGCGGUCUGACAAGUCAGAUGUGAAAUCCCCGGGCUUAACCUGGGAACUGCAUUUGAAACUGUCAGGCUGGAGUCUUGUAGAGGGGGGUAGAAUUCCAGGUGUAGCGGUGAAAUGCGUAGAGAUCUGGAGGAAUACCGGUGGCGAAGGCGGCCCCCUGGACAAAGACUGACGCUCAGGUGCGAAAGCGUGGGGAGCAAACAGGAUUAGAUACCCGAGUAGUCCCUGUCUCUUAUAA
rnacentral:rRNA from 1 species